ACUGGGGUGUUGCUAAGCAACUGCGAAGGGGGCGGGGCCAGCAAAGGAGGCGGUGUGAGCGUUCCCGCCCUGUGUGGCCGCGCGCCAUUUUACGCCCUUAGUUGUAUCUUCUAGUUCUCGAAGCUCCGGGUGCGGGGUCAUCUCCUUACUCAUCCCGCCGCUUCCUGAUUGUUUUCUUCCUGUUGGUGGCCGGAGGGACAAGUUUUUAUCCCUGGGAGAGCAGUGGAGGCCUGGCCUAUGGGCUGAAGUUGUUCGACUCCAUCUGACUUGGUGUGGGGCUGAGGUGCUGACAGAACGCUGAUGCAUGCGUUUCCUAUGUAAUCUUAAUGGACCGUGAACCAAACAAAGAGUCCCUGCUAUACAGUGUUUCUUAAACUCUUCUGACCAACAGUUCAUUACUGAAAAGAGAAAAAAAUGUGCACGGUGCUCACUUUGUAUCAUAGAACCUUUGAAGCUGGGAAGGACCUAUCGAGAUUGGGUAGUCCAUCAGAGGUUGUCUUUGCUGAAACAGAAGUAGUAUCAUGGUGGGAAAUAUGGGAAGAAAUAUUUUUGAAAUUGAAUGCUCAGACUUCGGUGGAGCUCUUCCAUUUCUCAUUUCACAGUUCUGCUUGGAGGAGCGCAAUAAAUGUUACCAUGCAUUCCAUGAGUAGUAAUGAAGAUGCAUUUCUGCACUGUUCAUUUUGCUUGCUGUUGCAUAUCACAUGCUUUGAGAACAUGAUAAGUUAUAAGAGGCAUUCUUGGCAUCUCUUGCUUAUUUAAGUCUUGAAAUUAAGGAGUAUCCUGAAGCUUCUGACCAGCAGCUGAAGUCUUCAGUCCAUGAUGGAUGCAUUUGGGUUUGCAUCGUAAUAAAGUGCUCCCCAUGAGAUUACAAGACCUCAGAGCAACAGCGAAGCUCCUCCCUCUGUACCUCCCUCAUGCAUCCCAAUACAAAAACUUUCUGGGUGGAUGCUAGAUAGGUAGGUCUUCAGAACAGAGUGGAGAUAGUGAGAAAAUGAAAACUUUCUCUUAGAAGAUAAGAGCUAACUGAAAUUAGCUUAAAGAAAUCAGUCUGAAGGCUUUUUCUUUCUAAGGGGACACUGUAAGUGUUUUGUUUCUGCUAAAUAUUUGGUGUACUGUGCAAAGUUUCCAUUGCUAAAUUUGUAAAUUUAAAUCUGUGUGUUUGUUUAAAGUAUUCUGGGGUUCUCAGUGUGUGUGUGUGUACGUAUAUCUAUAAGAGCAUGUCUGAUUUUAAUUCUUAGAUAGGGUUUUGUUUUUAAUUACAGGUAGAAAAAAAUCUGGUUUUAAUGUAGAACUGCUAUCUUGCAGCAAACAUACUUUUAUUCUUCUAACAUUUAUCAUAUUUUACUAAAUGCCAAUGAAAUUCUCGUUCCUUUCAAGCUGCUUUCUGCCUUGCUUGCUACACUGGCAGAAUACAGUAGUAUUCAAAUUGGCUUUGAUACUAUCUAAUCUGAGCUCUAAUUACCUUCAGAUAGUGCAAUUUCUUUUUCUGCACAAAUCCGAAAUGUUGUUGUGUGAUUUUAUUCAAGGCAUUUAAGUAAUGCAAAACCUGGCCCAAUAUCUAUUUCUGAUUUUGGAAGUGAUGAGCAGAUUUGAUUACAUUAUAUUGAAACUGUGAAUAUCUUUUAUGCCUGUUUCAAAAUAAACAAGCAAACAAGCAACUGUCCACUCGAAAUAACAUAAAGUUUGUGUAGGGGAAAGCAGAUUGCAGAGAGUGAGGAGCAAAGUGGAGGAAAUGACCACGUAUUUUAGAAACAGAUAUUAGUCCAGUAAAAUGUGUUAUGUUUCCCAGCUUGUUUUUGGAAAAGGAUAAAAUAAAUCUGCUAAAUCUUGUAAUAAGCAUUGGUGUUUAGACAGAAGAAAAUAGUAAUCUGAGAGCAGAUAUGUUCUGUUUAUGCUGGAACUGAGUAGAUAAUAGUAGCUUUUUUGCAAGGUAUUGUACAGCACAGAAAAGAGAGUUCUUAUCCUAUCUCUUAGUGCUGUAACGAGCUGCUUUCUCAUUUGCUCAUUUUCUUUGCAGUUCCUUGUUUCAGAAGCAUUUGAGCUAGGUACGAGAUAGUAUUUUGAUUCUUUUUAAAUCUUCUUAGCUUUUUAUUAAGUGUUAGUAGUUAUUAUUUAUAAUGGGUAUUCAUUGCAGUGUAUAUAUUUAGUGCAUCAAUGUGUAAAAUUGAUGAAUUUGAAGAUGUUUACAACAUUCAGCAUUUCUAUAUCAGUGUUUGCUGUGUAUGGUGAACUGAUUAAAUAUAACAUUUGAAAUGUGAAAUUCUAAAGUAGCUAUGUCCAUUUGAUCAUUGCAUUAUCUCUCCAACCUUGAUUAACUGUGCUUACGAAUAGAUAUCCACUGUCUGUUAAUGGGAGUUAAGAUGCCUUGAUCACAGGCAGGAUCUCAAUGAAGGUGUCUUUAUCUACAGGCAAUAUCCAACCUAACAUCUUUGGGCUUCUGAACAUCAGGCCUAUGUGUUAAUAUGCAUUUUUAUACUGUUAAGGUACUAAAAAGGCUGCUGAUUUUAUUGACCUAAAAAGUGAGCCUCUUAGUUAUGUCAACAAAAACUGUCCUGUACACAGUUCAGUGUGGUUAAGUACACCUUUAUGAAUUACUUGGAAAUAUUUUGUUCUGGAUGUUUAGUUAUUAUGAUUAUCUGAACUAUGUGUAGGAUCUAUUAAAAUUUAAUUUUGCACAUUGUCACUGAAAAAUGAUUUGUUGAAAAAUGCACAGAUUUGCCCAAAUAAGCUUUUGGAAAUACUGUUGAUGAGUACUGAAAAAGGUAUGGAAUCAUAGAAUCACAGAACUGUAGGAGCUGGAAGGGACCACUGGGGACCAUCGAGUCCAACCCCAGUGCUAAGCAGUUCCCUACAGCAGAGCACACAGGUAGGCUUACAGGCAGGUACUGAGUAUCUGCAGAGAAGGAGACUCCACAACUCAGCACAGGCUGUUCCAGUGCUCUGACAGUAAGGAAGUUCUUCCUUGCAUUAGUAUGGAACUUCCUGUGUUUCAAUUUCUGCCCAUUGCCUCUUGUUCUACUGUUGCUGGCCAUUGAAAAGAGACUGCCUCCAUUGAAUUGAGUCCCUCACUUGAGAUAUUUAUAAAUGCUCAUGACAUCCCCACUCAGCCUUAUCUUCUCUAGGCUGAACAGACCCAGGUCUCUCAGCCUUUCCUUAUGAGAGUAAUGCUCCAGGCUCCUCAUUGUCUUUAUCACUCUCUGAUGGACUCUUGGACUCUUUCUAUGAG